UACAGAGGUGGCAAGCGUUGUUCGGAAUUACUGGGCGUAAAGGGCGCGUAGGCGGCCAUCUAAGUCAGACGUGAAAUCCCCCGGCUUAACCUGGGAACUGCGUCUGAUACUGGACGGCUUGAGUAUGGGAGAGGGAUGUAGAAUUCCAGGUGUAGCGGUGAAAUGCGUAGAUAUCGGGAGGAACAUCGAUGGCGAAGGCAAUCACCUGGGCCUGAACUGACACUGUGACACGAAAGCGUGGGUAGCAAACAGG
rnacentral:rRNA from 1 species